rnacentral:rRNA from 1 species
GGGGGAAACCCUGAUGCAGCGACGCCGCGUGAAGGAAGAAGUAUCUCGGUAUGUAAACUUCUAUCAGCAGGGAAGAUAGUGACGGUACCUGACUAAGAAGCCCCGGCUAACUACGUGCCAGCAGCCGCGGUAAUACGUAGGGGGCAAGCGUUAUCCGGAUUUACUGGGUGUAAAGGGAGCGUAGACGGUGUGGCAAGUCUGAUGUGAAAGGCAUGGGCUCAACCUGUGGACUGCAUUGGAAACUGUCAUACUUGAGUGCCGGAGGGGUAAGCGGAAUUCCUAGUGUAGCGGUGAAAUGCGUAGAUAUUAGGAGGAACACCAGUGGCGAAGGCGGCUUACUGGACGGUAACUGACGUUGAGGCUCGAAAGCGUGGGGAGCAAACAGGAUUAGAUACCCUGGUAGUCC